CACUUUUUAAUUUUAUAAUUCAUGCUUUCUGUGUCACAUCGAAGAAGUCUUUGCCUCACUCAUUGUUACAAAGAUUUUUUCCUAUAUUUUCUUCUGAAAAAUUUCCAGUUUUAGCACUUUUGUGCCUAUGAGCCAUUUUGAGUUAAUACUUAUAUAAGGUGUUGGGUAGAGGGUCAAAGUUAAUGUUUUCUUUUUUUUUGCAAGGAGAUGUUCCAUUAUUCUCAGGACCAUGUGUUGAAAUAAUCCAAGUUCUAAACUAACAUUAGAGACCUCUAUUGAGGGGCUUCAGGGGAUUCUAGAACCACUUGAAAUGGAAUGUAACAUUUUGUGUACACAUAUUAUUUGGGAAUAAGAGGGUAAAAGUGGACAUGAUCCACAUGAUUCACCAGAUUCUGAAAGGGGCUCCUGACCCCCAAAAGGUGAGAGUCACUGCUCUAAUGUCACUCAGCUGUCAUCUUUCUCACUAAACAAAAGCAGUCAAAAACAGAAUGAAAGAUGUCAAAGACUGUGAGCUGCUUUGGAGUUCCUGGGAAGAAAAUGACAUGAUCUGUUGGAAUGGUUGUUUGGGUCCUCUGCAAUGGGGAGCGGAAGGCGGAAGCCUCCUCUGUUUGCAACUUUGCUGUGUGAGCCUUCUAAAUGUAAGUCAGAUGUGUAUGGGGGAUAGACAGAGGGUGUUUAUCUGGGGAGGAUUUUCUCCAAAAGAUUAUCUCGUAUAGUAGAUGACAGACUUGGGUUAGAUGGUGGCUCUUUUCUACUCUUAAAUACUCUGACUCACUUAUUUGAAUAAUAAUUUCUCAGUUCAUUCCAUGUACCAGGCACCGUGUAAGGCAAAUAAAACAGUGAAUGGCAGGCA
rnacentral:lncRNA from 1 species